rnacentral:rRNA from 1 species
GAUGAACGCUGGCGGCGUGCCUAAUACAUGCAAGUCAAGCGAACGGACGAGAAGCUUGCUUCUCUGAUGUUAGCGGCGGACGGGUGAGUAACACGUGGAUAACCUACCUAUAAGACUGGGAUAACUUCGGGAAACCGGAGCUAAUACCGGAUAAUAUUUUGAACCGCAUGGUUCAAAAGUGAAAGACGGUCUUGCUGUCACUUAUAGAUGGAUCCGCGCUGCAUUAGCUAGUUGGUAAGGUAACGGCUUACCAAGGCAACGAUGCAUGGCCGACCUGAGAGGGUGAUCGGCCACACUGGAACUGAGACACGGUCCAGACUCCUACGGGAGGCAGCAGUAGGGAAUCUUCCGCAAUGGGCGAAAGCCUGACGGAGCAACGCCGCGUGAGUGAUGAAGGUCUUCGGAUCGUAAAACUCUGUUAUUAGGGAAGAACAUAUGUGUAAGUAACUGUGCACAUCUUGACGGUACCUAAUCAGAAAGCCACGGCUAACUACGUG